ACAACUACAAGGAAAAGAAAGAGUAAAUGAAAUCGUUCAGACAUAGAGAGCUCUUGGCUGGUGGAAAAGAGAUUUGAAAGUUCAUUGAAUACAUCUUGGAGUAGACGACUGAAAUAAUAGUAGGUUUGUCCGGGUACACCCGUUAUUGUGUUAGAGUAUGUUUGUACUCGAAAAGGAUAUGAUUGUGAGGUCAUAUUGAAUUAAGGUGGUAACGCGACAGUCCCUUUCGCCCUUAUG
rfam:Eubacterium cylindroides T2-87 draft genome.